rnacentral:lncRNA from 1 species
CACCAUAAUGUUAGUCAUCAUCACCGUCUAUUAUCAUCCUUAGCUUCCUUCUUGGCACAACAUCUAUUAUCCCUAAAAUGGGAUAAUUAAUUCAUCAAUUAACUUAUCAUGCAAGUCCAGAUAUUGCAAUUGAUCAGCACUGUCCGGAGUUAGAAAAUCUACGUUCUGCAACGCCGUCUUAGUGUGCAAAGAAACAUCAUCAUUUUCUACAUCUACUAUCUCAAUGGGUUGUUCAUGUUUAUGCCUGAAAGAAAGUAUCCAAUCAUCAAAAGGCCACGGAUAAAACUUAAUAUAACAGACACAAAUACAUAUUAUUUAGUAUCUCACAUUCAUGGUAGAUCAAAUAUAUUUCUUGGACUGUAAAAUUUCAAAGAAAAUUUAAGUUUUCUAUGAGAUCCAUGAAACCAAAAAUCUAAAUUAUUUAACUCUGCAAGUUCAUGAAAACUAUAACACUGAAUUUACAGCAUCAUGGGAAAUACUCCAUCCCAUUUUAUGUGGCAUUUUCUAUUUCUGCAUGCCUUAAAAUAAAAUGUUCAUCAAAAACACAAAAACAUGAAACAAUGAACUACUAGUAGAUAGACCAUGUUAACCUUUUAGAAAAUGGAGAAUAAGAAAUUUGUGGAUCCAACAAUUUCAAAACAUUUUCAAAAUUUAAGGGUAUAUAUGCAAGAAAUUGUGUAACAUUUUAUUUCUUUGUACCCAACAAAAAUUGGAACAACAGAAUAUAUAUUAAUAUAUUUGUUCAAUUAAGAGUCAACCAAAUAACAUAAUAUGCCUAAACUGCAAAUUUAACUGGGCCUUUUCAUGAUUUCGCCUAGUGGUACGAUAAGUAAUUGACCUUCACAUACAGUUAAUUAUUGAUAGGAAAAGGUUAAGAUCGAACACCAAUUAUGAGUCAAAACAAAAAACAUGCAUUUAUAAACUACAAAGUUAAAUGGCUCUCCCGAAAAAGCACCAGUGCUAACAGCAAAACUGUCAUCACAGUAUCACACUACUAAAUAUAUAACAAAAAUGUGCUUUCCUGUUAAACCCAAAAAGUAAAAAGAUCUUCCCAUUGGCAACUAUGCAAAGAGCCAUGAAAUGAAGUAAUGUGCAGGCCAUUGCAAGCAUUUUCUGUUCCUCAAAAGAACAUCCCACUACAUUAAAAAACUUGAGACCCUUAACCAAAUCAUCAUCACUAGUGUCAUCCUCACCAACUCCACAUGCAUGAAACUCCAUUCUUAGAGAAUACUUAAAAAUGCCAUAAACCCAUCUAGGCCAUUAUCAUUUACAACCACUGCAUUAGAUCAAACUCCAUCUGCCUAGAAAACUACACUUGCUCAGCUAUUUUAACAGCUUGGAAUACAAUAUAGUUACUUAAAACCCCAACCCAGGUUCAAAUUUUUGAAGCAAUGAUUUUGUUACAGGACAUUUUGUGUGAAGGUAUUCAAGCCAAUAAGAUUACUAUAACGAUUCUAUUGACAACUUGUGGACGAAUUAGGGGAAUAGAGUAUGCCAGGCUGAUCCACGAUUAUAUUUUAAAAGUAGGGAUUGAAGGUGAACUGAAUCUAGAGAAAGCGCUGUUAGAUAUGUACACCAAGUGUGGAAAUGAAUACAGUGUUACAACAGUUAAGCAAGAUGAACUCCUACAUUUAGGUUCAGAGACCAAUGGGGUUUAUGUCCUGUUAUCAAAGGAGCAAGGCAUCAUCAGUUCAAUAGAAAUUUUUUCCUAAUCUACAGAAGUAUUGAUGGAAAUAUGUUGAGAGAUUUAACGAUAGAAUGAGCGAGUAACAUAUAUCCAGUUGGUAACGUAGCAAGAUUAUCUAGAUGGGUCUACAAAUGUAUAAAUGCGACAGAAGCUUCAAUCAAGAAAAUCCGUAGCUAUCUGAUAUAAGCUAAAGAUUAUAUGUGCAUAUUUGAAAAAUGUGGGAGAAAAUUGGUGCAUCUAUUAUAAAUAUUGAAUGAUACAAAAAGUAUGUGCAAAGUUCAGACAAACAAAUUAGAGGAUCAAAGAAAAUCUUUUAUCUGCCAAAUUGUAACCUGUAAAUGGAUUCAUACAGUUCAUAUUAGAAUAAAAUCUAAAUUUUUAUCCUUCAAAUAGAGUUUUGAAUUAUAUAAGCUUUUCUUGCAGAAUUGUUCUCUUUACUUGAGAAGGUGCUAAAAAGGGAAAAGGAAAGAAAGGAGCUUAACUGUAACCCAUCCUUGACAUAUCCCGAGUUUUUGACCUGCUCUGCUUCUUCAGUUUUCCAUAUCUCUUAGUAAUGAUAGUUGGAUAGCCAACAAAAAUAGAAAAGUAUUUAGCGUAACCCAUCCUUGACAUAUCCGAAGUGUUUGCUUCUAGACUUUAGUAUUGGUUAACGUUAGAAAAACUCUUGAAGCUACUCACCAAUGAUGGUCAUUAUCAUCUCAGCUAAAAUUUAGUAUUCAGAAAUGUGAAGUACUGUAAUAAACAAACAAUAAAAAGUGCCAACUAAUCAAAAUUGUCUAUAGAUUCAUCAGCAUGGGAACAAUUUCAUAUCUCUAAAACUAGUCAUAAUCUUUAAUUAGCGACGCUAUGGCAUCCCAAAGUUGCUAUGUGCAUUUAAUUCUCUAACGCUGAAAUUAUUCCGGUACUGAUCAACCUAUUUUGUACUCCUAACAGAAACUUUUCCAAAAAACCCAAAUUGAUCAGCAUUACAACAAACAAUUAACUUUUCCACAUCACCAAAACACUAAAAUAGAAAUUUAGACUAGCAUGAGUAAUACAAAACACAACUCCAAAUAAGUUAAAAUUGGCACUAAAUAAAAAUACCGCAUUCACUGUUGCACUGGUAAUAUAGGUUCGUGGAACUGAUGUUGCCGCUGCAGGUCGAACCCGUCCCAAUGAUUGCCCUAAGCUCUGAAAACAAACACAAUCUAAUGCUUCAAAAACAAAAUAUAGCUAGCAUACAUACACACAAAUAGGUACAACUAUGUCCAGAAUAUUAACAGCGUCCCAUAUAAUAAAAAAGACUGACUGAAGAAGAAGACCCACCGGAGGUAAUUUUCUGCCUUAUAAUAGCCCGCAUCAUCCCUCUAGUCAAAGAAGAGAGCAUCUACCCUAACAAACACCGAAGAUCAGAAAACAGAAUACUAGAAAAAUCGAGAAAAUUAGUCAAGCUCAAUGAAUUACAGGGGUUUUAACAAUGGAUUUGAAAUCAACUGGAUUCAACGCAUCAGCACAAUAAUUCAAAAAAGGUGUAAAAUUAAAAGAUGAUAGUCAAUUCAAUUGAAUAUAAAAGUGUGAAAAGUAGAUGACCUAGAAGUGCCGUUUGAUUAAAUAGGUAAUAAACACUUCAAAUGUCAAACCAUAAACAGAAGCACGUGUAUAUAAUGAGAUAUUCAUAUAAACUGUAAAUGAUAAAGAAACUAUACCUGGUAAUAAAAGGAACGAGAUGAAGAUGCUCGAGGAGUUAGUUUGCUUUGUUACAGAAAAAAGAAAGAUUGGAGAAGAAGAAGAAGCGAACCAAAAGCAUAAUUAGGGGCAGGUUAGGGAAACACUGUCAUUGAGAAAGCGGGAAUAAUGUUUUCUUUAUGGUGUUGGUCUAUUCAGAGCAUAUAAGCCGUGGAAAUCAAACCCAAAACGUGGAAAUUAGACCAUAUCAGAGCAAAUCGUGGAUUUUGAGAGUUGGCAAUCGAUGGGAGGGGAUUUUAGGUCAUAAAUCGUGUAAAGGACCCACAGAGGAGGAGGGAUACACUCAUAGUUUUUAGGUAAGUGGGAGAAACUAAUGAAGAGGGAGUUGAGAAGUGAGAGAGAUCGAUGAAGUGAGAGAGCUGAUGAAGUGAGAGAGACAAGUGAGAACUGGAAGUCUGGAAGAAGAGGAAGAGGAAGAAGGGGAGAAAAAUCAAACCUUGCUUAAAUUUUUCAAUCCACCGAGUUAACUCUUUUUAAUUAAUUAAAAAUUGAAACAGUGAAUUUUACAAUUUAAACGAUUCC